rnacentral:rRNA from 1 species
GACGAACCGUGCGAACGUUAUUCGGAAUCACUGGGCUUAAAGGGCGCGUAGGCGGGCCGACAAGUCAGGGGUGAAAUCCUCCAGCCCAACUGGAGAAGCGCCUUUGGUACUGUCGGCCUCGAGGGGUGCAGGGGCAUGCGGAACUCAGGGUGGAGCGGUGAAAUGCGUAGAUAUCCUGAGGAGCACCGGUGGCGAAGGCGGAUCUCUGGGCCUUACCUGACGCUCAGGCGCGAAAGCUAGGGGAGCGAACUGG